AUGAAGCCCCCCGGCCGCCUCGCCACCGCGGCGGCCGCCGCGCUGCUCGUCGCGGCGUCGCUGCUGCUCGCCACCCUCCUCACCUCGCCGCUGCCGCUGCUGCCGCUGCUCCCGUGCCUGCCGACCGUCACGGCGCCCUCGGGCGACGGGUACGCGCCCGCGGGCCUCGCCGCGCUCGCCGACGCCGCCCUCUACUACGCCACCACGCCCAACGUCCCGCAGCAGUCGCACGCCGAGAUCUCGCUCUCCCUCGCCGUGCUGCGCCGCCGCGCGCCGCUGCGGCUGCUGGUGUUCGGCCUCGGCCACGACUCGCCGCUCUGGCACGCGCUCAACCCCGGCGGCGUCACCGUCUUCCUCGAGGAGGACCCGGAGUGGUACCGCAUCGUGCGCGCCCAGUCGCCGUUCCUCCGCGCGCACCUCGUCAGGUACCGCACGCGCCUCGACCACGCCGACGUCCUCUUCCGCUCCUACAGGAACUUCCCCUCCUGCGUCCCCGGCGCCGACGCCGACGGCGCCCCCUUGCGGGUCCGCGCCAACGCCGAGUGCCCGCUGGCGCUGCACAACCUGCCGCCGGAGGUGUACCAGAACGAGUGGGACAUGCUCAUGGUGGACGCGCCCAAGGGGUACUUCCCGUCGGCGCCCGGCAGGAUGGCGGCGAUAUGGACGGCGGCGGCGAUGGCGCGGGCCAGGCGCGGCGAGGGGGACACCGACGUGUUCCUGCACGACGUGGACCGCAGGGUGGAGAGGAUGUACGCCGAGGAGUUCCUCUGCGAGAGGUUCCGGGUGGGAGCGACCGGCCGGCUCUGGCACUUCAGGAUCCCGCCGGUGUCACGGCGGAACGGCACGGCGGCCGGCGGCGACAAGAGGCCUUUCUGCUGA
rnacentral:rRNA from 1 species